rnacentral:rRNA from 1 species
GGAGUCUGGACCGUAUCUCAGUUCCAAUGUGGCCGAUCACCCUCUCAGGUCGGCUACCCAUCGUCGACUUGGUGAGCCGUUACCUCACCAACUAUCUAAUGGGACGCGAGCCCACCUUCUACCGGAUUUCUCCUUUGACCUCAAAACCAUGCGGCUCCGUGGUCUUAUGCGGUAUUAGCACUCCUUUCGGAGCGUUAUCCCCCUGUAAAAGACAGGUUGCUCACGCGUUACUCACCCGUCCGCCACUCGGUUAUUUCAAAUCCAUCCGAAGAUCUCAUCAAAAUAACCUCGUUCGACUUGCAUGUGUUAAGCACGCCGCCAGCGUUCGUCCUCGAGCCACUGAUCAAACUACU